UACGUAGGGACCGAGCGUUUGUCCGGAAUUAUUGGGCGUAAAGAGCUCGUAGGUGGUUUGUUACGUCUGCUGUGAAAACCUAGGGCUUAACCCUGGGCUUGCAGUGGAUACGGGCAGACUAGAGGUAGGUAGGGGAGAAUGGAAUUCCUGGUGUAGCGGUGAAAUGCGCAGAUAUCAGGAGGAACACCGGUGGCGAAGGCGGUUCUCUGGGCCUUACCUGACACUGAGGAGCGAAAGCGUGGGGAGCGAACAGG
rnacentral:rRNA from 1 species